AGGACGAACGCUGGCGGCGUGCUUAAACACAUGCAAGUCGAGCGGAAAGGCCCUUCGGGGUACUCGAGCGGCGAACGGGUGAGUAACACGUGAGUAAUCUGCCCCUAGCUCUGGGGAUAGCUCCGGGAAACCGGGAUUAAUACCGGAUACGACCACCUUAGACAUCUUUUGUGGUGGAAAGAAUUUCGGCUAGGGAUGAGCUCGCGGCCUAUCAGCUUGUUGGUGGGGUAACGGCCUACCAAGGCGACGACGGGUA
rnacentral:rRNA from 1 species